CUUCCAAAUACUGAAAUUGGCAUGUGUUGUUCAGGUGGCAAAGUUGUGCAAAAUAGGAGGAAAAAACCUCAAAGACAGUGCCAGAAGAAUGCUGGACAGUGUUUUCAAAAAUUCCCUCAUGUCAAAGUUCAAUAUGAAGGGUGGUGGUCCACUGCAGAAGGUGGCUUUUGAAAACACUGCAUUGUUCUCAGUCAUUAGAGAUGCUGUGAUGACCAACUUUCCAGCAACAACUGAAUUUGAAAUAAGAAAUGCAAUUUCUGGGCAUUUUAAACAAGCACCAGGG